rnacentral:rRNA from 1 species
UGGGGAAUUUUGGACAAUGGGCGCAAGCCUGAUCCAGCCAUGCCGCGUGCGGGAAGAAGGCCUUCGGGUUGUAAACCGCUUUUGUCAGGGAAGAAAUCUUCUGAGUUAAUACCUCGGGAGGAUGACGGUACCUGAAGAAUAAGCACCGGCUAACUACGUGCCAGCAGCCGCGGUAAUACGUAGGGUGCAAGCGUUAAUCGGAAUUACUGGGCGUAAAGCGUGCGCAGGCGGUUUUGUAAGACAGAGGUGAAAUCCCCGGGCUCAACCUGGGAACUGCCUUUGUGACUGCAAGGCUUGAGUGCGGCAGAGGGGGAUGGAAUUCCGCGUGUAGCAGUGAAAUGCGUAGAUAUGCGGAGGAACACCGGUGGCGAAGGCAAUCCCCUGGGCCUGCACUGACGCUCAUGCACGAAAGCGUGGGGAGCAAACAGGAUUAGAUACCCUGGUAGUCCACGCCCUAAACGAUGUCAACUGGUUGUUGGGAAGGUUCCUUCUCAGUAACGUAGCUAACGCGUGAAGUUGACCGCCUGGGGAGUACGGCCGCAAGGUUG